rnacentral:tRNA from 1 species
GGGCCUAUAGCUCAGUUGGUUAGAGCGUCCGACUCAUAAUCGGCAGGUCCCAGGUUCGAGUCCUGGUGGGCCCACCA